AUGAACCUAAAUCUGAAGAUGUUUUCUCUAGCUUUCUCAUUUGGCGUCGCGGUUGAAGAACCAACAGAGUUUUCCGGUAGUUGGCUUGGUUUUGCAGUAGUCUUGGACUUGGUAGGCUUUACCUUAGCAGCUGGUUUGGUUUUCGCAGGAGGCUUGGGUUUAAACAACAAUGUUAUUUGCUUGGAUUUUGGACCUUUUAGCAUGAUGUAG